rnacentral:lncRNA from 1 species
AAAGCAACAGGCAAUGGGGGAAAUGUGCCGCAAAGGUAUGCGAUCACCGCCCUGUCCCAAGUGCAGCUGAUAGUGCUAACAUCUCUUUCUCUCUUAAGUCCAGAGCCGGCUCAAAGAUGUAGUAGAAGGCCCCAGAGCCACUCGAUUCCCUGCCACCACCCACUGCUACACCAGUGUUGCUAGAACGUGCAUGCCUUCCCCCUGUCCCCCAGAGCCCCAGUCCUGCUCUCCUCAUACAACAUCCACCCACCACCCCAGCUCCCCACCAACCAACCGACCCCCAAUCCCUCCACCUCCCUGCCUCGCUCCCUGAUUCAGUGUGUAAAAGCGCCCCCUGAAUGAUGGAUUACAGUGUCACCACAGCCUGCGAAGGAUUAAUUUGUUUCAUUGAUUUCUCUUUAGGCAGAAUGCCAGCGUCUGCCGCUUCCCACCUUUUCCCCAAGACUCGCAGCUGUAAUAGACGGUAAUGGCCUAAGACAAAUCAACCCGUUUCUUGUAAAAAUAGCACCAAAUAACCCGCCCCACCCUCCAGGAUGCACUCCACUCACGAGCACACCGGGGAGUGGUCUGGUGUAAUAUCAGGGGUUGUUGGAUUCAUCCUCAUGCUCCAUCUCUAUCACUCUAUCUGGCCAUCCUUCCACAGCGUUGUCCCUCCUUAUCCUGAGCCAGAGGAGACCAUCCAGUCACUCUAACAAAGCCAUAAGUCUGCCGUACUUACAGCUCCCUCUCAGGCCUCACAAUGGAUGGGUAAUGACAGCGCUGUCUGGAGGGGGCUGUGGGAGUUGGGCCAUUCUCUGCUGUAAUGGAAGCAGUUACUGCCAUUCCCUAUACACCUGCAGGAACAGCUAACUGUUAACCACUGUGAUCUAUGGCGAGGCCUUACCGCACCAGGCUAGGGUUGAAGGGUUGUACUGACACGACUGAAUUAGGCCACGUCGGCACAACAUGUCUUUUUUCUGUCUCGCGCAUGAAGUUAUUGUGCUGUACGUGGAGAGCUAUAGAAAAGGAGUUAUUUAUAAACAAAUCCGUGCCAAUGAAUCAGUGUUGGCACAGCUCUUAGCCCCGCAGACUGACAAUCCAACAUUCCUGACAUUCACUGAUUUAACGCAGACAUAAGAUGCUGCCACAUCUUUACUACCCUGUCACUGCUUUGAACGAUGGGAAACCCAAACGGCCUGUAACAUUAAGCACACCACUACAGGCUGACUGUCCUCCAACGCUUUCCAAUCCCACAGAGAUUUACGAGCAGAACCAGAUCCAUUAAUCCAUUGUUGAUUUGCUGUGGCUGCCCUGCAGGGUUUUUGGGAUCAGAUAUCAUACAGCGCUGAAACUCACCCGGGUUGCGCAGCAGGAAGAUUGUAACACUCUCAUCCAUGCUAAAAAAUGCUGCAACAAGCAUUAGGAAAUUAAAUUCAAGUCAGUGUUUUCAUAUUUUAAAUUCAUGGCACAUUUGAAAAUUCCUGCGUGUCUACCACCGCGGUCUAAUUCAUUCACAAGCUGACAGAUAUAUGAACUUUUGACAGAAAACACAGCCACUUACAUUAAAAAUUACUGCAUAAACCAGAGUGACAAUCCAUAGGGGGCUCAGUAUGAGUGAGUUAGAGCGGGUACACAAUGUGAUAAUGACCGAGGCUGCAGGGAAAUCUCAUCAGCUCCCUGCAAUCAAUUUAACAGUGUUUACAAAGCCACAGGCUGGGGUUUGUGCUCGGGGACAGAGCACCGGUCACCUGGUGCUCCACUAGAUCCCCCGCUAAGCUGGCCUCUCCUGGGUAAACCUGCACAAAGCCCCCUCAUGUCUGACACCACCAGGUCCUUCAAAUACUACUCUCAGACAGAGGAUUAGGUAAUCUCACCAUGAUACUGUCUUUUUCGCCGUUUCUAUCACUUUCCCUUCCUCAUCGUUGCCUCCUCUCUACCUCUGCAUGCUCAUACCUCACACACAUCCCUCUUCCUCCUCCUCCUCCCUCUCUCUGGCCUGCUGAAGUGCUUGUUCUACUUGGGGCACAUCUAUCCUCAGGGGUCCUCAUGCUCUUAAGUGGCUUCAGAAAAGGUUAGUUGGCAGGUAAUUGUCCAGCUGUGGUUGGGCUUAUCUUAAUUGUGGGUGCUUCAGCGCUGCUGCACCUCUUGUGAUGAAGAGACUUACAGUUUGUGAAAUAAAGAAAGGAGGAUGGAGGAGAAAGGGAUAUACUAUUGUGUAGUGUUUGUGAUAUUUGCCCUUUGGCUAUUUGUUCUUUCUACUUUUACGAUAGAAAAAAAAUGAAAAAGUGUGUUGUUUUAAUUACUUCUGUAUUAAAAUUUAUUUGUAUUAUCUAACUUAUUUUCUCCUCUUGAUGUAUUUGCUUUCUGCUCUGUUUCUCUUUGAUUUUUACUUCUUCUAAGUAUCGGACAGUUUCCUUUAUAACCUGCAAUCUGCAAGAAACACUCAAUACAAUUUUCUCUAAUCAUCCUCCACAUGCACAGAAGAAAAAAAAAGCAAUGUUGACCUCCUGGUGUUAAAAUCCAAAUGACUAGUUCUUCGGCCACUCCAGAUCUAUACUUCUAUUAGCCAUCUGAUCGUAUAUAUGUAUGUCGAUAGGGAGCUUUAGGGGGGUUAGUGUUUGCAUUGCCCCAGUCAAAGGUCAUGACUGACCGAUAAAAUAUUUCCAGAGCACCAUCAAUAACUCCGACAUGCAGACUAAUACAGUAUGGGAUUGUGGGCAGGGGGAGGAGGCCUGCUGCGCUCGCUGUGAGCAGAAUGGAUGGGCAAGAGGCCAAAAGGUUAUUGGACAGACUUGGGCCCCCUGCCCCUGCACCCUCUCAUAUGUGCAUUUGAUAGCGACAGGGACAAUUAUAAAGGUAUACUUCAGACAGGUCAAAUGGGAGAGGGCAAAGUGCAGAACCUUUAAAGCACUGGCUGGAGUCAAAGGUUAGGGUGGACAUAGGACAUCAUGACAUGCUGCUGGGUGAGGAGGUAAUGGAAUCGGAGCUAUAAAGACGCAGACUGAUGAGAGGAGAAAAAAGGAGGAUCAUUUCAUCAUUUAGGAUGUUUUCAUUGACAGAAAAUAAAAAAGUGCUGCUUGAAAUCCCGGCUUUAAAACCUCUUAUGCAAACUAUAUUUCUGUUUCGUUUGUGUGGCGUGUGUGUGGUCAUAUUCUGUAUUAUGUCCCCAUCAGGCAACAUAACUAUUAAAUAUGAAUAGCCCAAGGUCAGGAUAGGUCAUGGUGAGCAUUUAGCACCAGUGACCAAUGCCAAAUGUAAAGGUCAGAGAGGAAUCACCCCAGUCAGAGCAAUACAACAUCUUCUCAUCCACAUUUAUGCAUCCUAGUGGCAGUGAUUUAUGAAGGCAGAUAAGCGCCCGGAUAGGAAGAAAACAGUCUCUUUUUGCUAUCCCGUCAGACUCGGUAAAUACUCUACUCACUCAUAUCAAUCACUAUGUCAGAGUGAAUCGCCACUCUAUGCUUCCUGCUCAGAUUAAAAACUGCCUUUGUCUUGCUCUGCCUGCUCCCUCCAGCUCUGGGGAGCACACUGGUGGUAUUGUUGCUAUUUCACAAGCUGUGUAUUAGCAUUUCAAACAGCUGUGGUACACAAGAAGUGAGUAUGUUCAAAGUUAGUGGUAAGCUUUAGUUAUGUGCAAUUUUUCCACGAAUAGAUUCCAUAUGUUAUCAAUCAUAUCUCACAGGAGAAACAUAUUUAAUUUACUGCAUAAAUACUGAGGGGGGAACUUUUUUUGUUGGGUGGUUUUUAUUGAACAUCCUCUCUUUUAAUUUACUUACAAGGACUUCUGCGUCGUUUUACUCUUUCUCAAAGGUUUUCAUGUUUUUGGUUUGCAUAAGAGAAAAAAAAAGGUAAUUUCUAAAAAUCAAAUUCCAGUGUAUUAAUUUGAAGCAGAUUUAUGUGCCUACAAAAAAUUUGGUCAAAUGGAUUCCCUGUCUUCUCCAAAAAUAAAUACCUCCGCUGAAGUCAGAGGGUUGUUCAGCCGCUCUGGGGACACCUUCACUGGGCCAGCCAUUAACUCUAAACCCCGGCUUUCAGGAUUUUGUAGGCCUCUCUUGAACACAAACAUGUUCCCAGUGUCCCUUUGGCUCCUUAAAUGUGAAAACCAGCCUGUCACUGUUGCACCAAAGGCUUUGCAAACUACCCCCAAGUGGUUCACAAUCCAGCCAGAGAAAAGUCCAGAAAGAAAACAUGCUUUUGAACUGCAAGCCAAGGCGGAAACACGGUCUAGUAAGCUGCUUUUAACCUGAGCCAUAAAGACCAAAAUUUCCCUCUCCUUCAAUAGUCAUAAAAGUGUGCUUUUACUUUAUUAUACACAUAAUGCUUUUCCAUGGAAAGAUCAAAGGGUGAUAAUGCGUGACACCAUAGGCACCAGUGUUUAAUAUCUGACACUGUGUAGUUCUUCAUCAGACAGCGUUUCACCCUCCAUGCAACUUCGAUAUGACAAAAACGUCUUUUUUAAUCACAGUAUUCCUCCUGCAGAAAUCAAAUCAAUUUCAUAAUGUCGACUGUAGAGGUCAGCUUUGAGGAUUCUCACCAGUUUAAAAAACCAGCAGUGACAUUUCCCUACACACCACUCCUCACACCAUCCAUCCUCUCCACCUCCUCUGUGAGAACAUUUUCCAGACGCCGUUUAUACACAGAACAAGUUCUGCACGAUCUGACACAUUCAUCUCUAUUUCCCAUUCACCACAGGGCAUUUGAACCGCAUCAGAAUCUAUUACCACCAUGCAGAUUCAGCUUCACUGACAAUACAAAUCAUGAUAAGAUGGAGAAGUGACUCCAUAAACAGCCUCGCUUUUACAUCCCAUCAUACAAGC